rnacentral:rRNA from 1 species
UACGUAGGGUGCUAACGUUGUUCGGAAUCACUGGGCAUAAAGAGCGCGUAGGCGGUCUGAUAAGUCAGGUGUGAAAUCCCCCGGCUCAACCGGGGAACUGCACCUGAUACUGUUGGGCUUGAGUGCAGGAGGGGAGAGCGGAAUUCCUGGUGGAGCGGUGAAAUGCGUAGAUAUCAGGAGGAACGCCGGCGGCGAAAGCGGCUCUCUGGCCUGUCUACUGACGCUGAGGCGCGAAAGCUAGGGGAGCAAA